GGAGAUUGGGGCAGUUUGCAUUAUCAAAGAGCCUGAAAGCCUCCUGCAACUGUAGGAGUUUGCCAUCAGUGCCAUAAACCCCACCCUCUACACCGUGGGAAAGUAAAGCUACAAUACAGGAAUCCACAUCCUGAUGAUCUGGCAAUUUAGAGAAUCUCUCCAAUGCACUCUCCAUUUCCUCUGCACUUUGAUCAUGAAAGACAGUCACUUGAUAUCCAAGAUGCUUGAAAAGCAGCUCUAGGGAAGCACAGUCCACAUCUCCACCUGAACGAUAUUCCAAGUCCUUUUCACUGCUGAAAUGGAUAUUGCUGAGAAUAAGUGCUAAGCCUCGGGGCUCUGAUAUCAGUUUGUAUGCUAAGUGCUGAUGAUCACGAUAGAAUUCUGGAGUGCAG
rnacentral:lncRNA from 1 species